AGUCGCACAUAGCGAAAUCCCUUUCCCCAUUUCCCUCCUUUGUCUGAUCAGAACACCCGGCGGCCAAAGAUGGAUUCCGACGCCCCUCUCUUUCAGACCGAAAAGCAAUCCUAAACAUCCUACUUUCUUCUAUGUCUACCUCACCCACACUCACGAAACCCACUGUUUUUGGUAUCAUCUUCGUACACGCACCCAGAAAUUAGAGAAAGAGAGAGACUGAACUAAUAGAAAGAGAUAGGCUGGAGGAGCGGGAGACGACGACGGUGGCGCCAUCGGCGAAGCAGUGGCACAGUAGCUCCGAUUGUGGUGAUGGCAGCGGUGGUGGCUGACGGCGGCGGUGGCCGCCGGGCCACAGCGGCGAAGAUUUGUAUCCGCGAUCAGUUCCGGUAGAUGAUGUUAGCAGAUGGGACGAUGGCUGUGUAUAACUCUUCAGUUCACAAGUUGAUCGGGUGGAAUGGCUACUACCAUGGCUUAAGUUUAUUAUGUACCCUUGAUCUUAGUUCCACUUUUGUUUCAAUUGGCAAAUGAUUAUAGAAUCUUGCUUCUUCUCAUGGGAGCUGUUGGUUUAGCAAGAUGGAAGUCAUCUGUUGCAAACCAGUGUAAGGAGGGUGAAGGACCAAAUGGUGAACGUGAUAUGAAACUUUGUAUAAUGGGAGUUGGUGAUAACCAUCAAGAAUGACACAAUUGAUGAGGAUAUUAUUUAUGAGCACAAUGAACUUUCGAGUUUUUAUUUAAAUAUUUG